GAAAUACAAUAUACUCUUUUGUUCUUCCUUUAUCAUUUUCUCUAUUUUUUUAUGUUGUACAAUAUCUUGCAAUUCUUUAGAUUAUUUUCAUAACAAAUUAUUAGCACGAGACUCUACUAGAGCAAUGACUUAAUUAUCUUAGAGGCUAUAUUCUAAGAAUUUUUCUUCUUCUCAUUUCUUUGCACCGAUUAGUUUAAUUUGAUCAUGUUCUUUUUCAUAGUUUUUAUUUUAGUGUUUGUUUGAUUGAAUUACAUAGGUUGAGGAUGAUCGAGUCAUAAACAAGAGCAAUGGAUUCACAAUUGUUAUAAUGAAAGAUGUUGAAGACGAAAAAGAAAGAGAAAUUGACGCCAUUAGCAAUAAUAACAUAACACAAAAUAAAUGAAAGAAAGAGAACUUGAUACGCAAAUUUUUCUUCAGUUUUUAAUGGCUCUCGUUUAUUUCUUUAAUUGGCAUGUGUUAGCCAAAACAAACAAGGAUCCAAGUUGAUUCAACGACAAACAAUGUUGAAUCAACUGUCAUUUUAAUUUUUAAAUAUAUAAUAAAUCAUUAAAUAUUCUUUGAAUAUAUUGAAUCUGCAAACAAAUUAUAUGUAAGUGUUUUUUUGUUAGUUUUAGUUAUUUUAGUCAUUGAAUAUUCUUUGCAAUUAAAUUAGCAGUC
rnacentral:lncRNA from 1 species